rnacentral:ncRNA from 1 species
ACCAUCCUUUUCUUGGGGUUGCGUUACUGUCCAAUGAGCGUUUAGCGAGGACAGUACUGCUAACACCUACACAACACAUUCGCAUCAACUAGAGCUCUGCUUUACUUUGGUGCAAUUUUUGGAAAA